rnacentral:misc_RNA from 1 species
UCCGGUUUGUCACCGGCAGUCUCCCUAGAGUUCCCGACCGAAUCGCUGGCAAAUAGGGACAAGGGUUGCACUCGUUACGGGACUUAACCCAACAUCUCACGACACGAGCUGACGACAACCAUGCACCACCUGUGUAGCGCCCCGAAGGACACCGUAUCUCUAUGGCUUUUCCUACCAUGUCAAACCCAGGUAAGGUUCUUCGCGUUGCCUCGAAUUAAGCAACAUGCUCCGCUGCUUGUGCGGGCCCCCGUCAAUUCCUUUGAGUUUUAGCCUUGCGGCCGUACUCCCCAGGCGGGGCGCUUAAUGCGUUAGCUACGGCACGGAUCCCGUGGAAGGAAACCCACACCUAGCGCCCACCGUUUACGGCGUGGACUAC